rnacentral:lncRNA from 1 species
CGUAACGAUUUAAGUUGUGUAUUGACAGUUAAAAAAUUUAUUUCAUACCAUUAAUUCUGACUUGUCCGUACACUGAGACCACCAACCUCUGUACUUUUCUUUGAUUAUUUCGAGAAAUGUCUCGUAAUAUAUAAAGGGUACCUUCCCUUUGUAAAGGCUCACGUGUAUUUUGCUACUUAUAAUAUACAACUCUCCCUCACACUCUAUCUCUUGUGGAAAGAUGAUUACUUGUUCUAUUGUUCUUACAUCUCAAGAUAUCUACACUAUUAUCACAAAUCUUAGCUACAUGUUAUUCUUUAGUUCAUAUUACGCUUGAUUCUGAUUAACCCUUGUUAUUUUCGAUUAUUUUUUAGCUUAAUGAGUAUUCACAUAACUUUUUUUGAUUCUAAUUAACCCUUGUUAUUUUCGAUUAUUUUUUAGCUUAAUAAGUAUUCACAUAACUUUUUAGCAUAACAAAUUAAUUACUUAGCACAUUUACAAACCAAGAUUUAAAACAAAGGUUGAAUAGAAACUAGGGAUACAGAGCAUAGCAGUCAACUUACACCAAAAUAGGGAUACAUAGCAAAAUAUGGGAAGUUUCACG